CUGAACAUAGUAAGGCAGUAUUUCAUAGAACUAUCUUGCUAUUUUUACAUGUACACUUUAAAAAGUAGGCAUUUAUACUACAAGGCAUAGCAUAUCCUUCUUGCCCAAGUGUUUUCCUGGUAUGCAAAGUUGUACAAGUUUGUGUUAAGUGACAGACAGUUCUUGAUUUUAAAAGCGUAUGUCAAAUUUUUUAAAGAGAAUGCUCCCAAAAUAAAUGCUUCAGGACCUAGCAUGGGGUGAGGGGCUUGUAGGAUAAUUUAGUUGCCUUCAUUUCACAGUCACUAUGAGUUUUUAAAUUGGAGGGCAGAAGCAAGACAAGUGCAUUUUGUAAUUCACAUAAAAAUAGUCCCAUAACACAUUGUUAUCACUAAAUCAUUACGAAGAGGAGAAUGUUCAUUCUGCCUUCAUUUUAUGCCAUAUGGGUAGAAUGGAGAUAAUUCUGCUGGACAGAAUUAUAUUUUGAAGCAAAUACAUGCUUUCAGGGUGUCUCCAUUUCAUUUGGAGCUGACGAAAAUUUCAUGAGGGUUUUCUUUACUUUUCUAUGGGAGGGUUUCUACUAGCGAUGUCACAACAGAGCUAGAUUAAGUUGAUACGUAAUAUCUAUUUCUUGAUUUGCGUGAUUAAAGCAUUAGAGAAGUGGCUCAGAUAUCAAAAGGUUUCUUAUAAGUGGCAGCGCCAAAGGUAAUUACUGUUAAAAUGUACGUGCUCGAACCCUGGUUGCUUCUUAACUUCUAAGUUGUUUACAACUCUGUGGAUUUGAAUACACGUUUUUAUUUGACUUUUCAAUAACAAGACCCCUUUCUUGCUCCAUUUUGAUAUAAAAAAUGUAUUUGUAAUUCUUAUAGCUCAUGUUCCUCAAGGCAACCUUAGCUUCAAUCACAAAAAGUAAUAGAGGACAGAGAUGGCCCUUCUCAGUAUUUCACAUUUUAAAAUAACUCUUUCUUAAACAAAAUAGUCUUUUAAAGACAAAGUUAAAAUUUAUACUUAAAAAAUUAAAGAUUAAUCUAGUCAACUGAUUAUUUCCAGUUAGUUGUCAAAAAGUGUAGCUAAAGCCGUACUGUAAGUCUGAGUGAGUUAUGAGAGGGGGUGGGGAUAGAGAGGAAAAGAGGGGAGAGAGAGAAGGAGAAGAGAGGUUGUUAUUCUCAGUCUUUUAUUAACCAGUUUCUUUCAUCCUAGUGUGUCUUUAUUAUUUAGAAAAAUAAAAAUGAUCCGGGGCUCUACCCACUCUCACCUAAAAUUCUGCAGUAGGUAAUGACUAUCUACAACCUGGUACAACAUAUGCCCCCAAACUAAAACAAACAAACUCAUUUGCCAUACAAAUUGUUUACGAUUCAUUAAAAAGCAAAAUUGCAUAUCCUGUCGCUGGCAGCUGAGGCCGCGUCUCCACGGGCGGAGGGGGCAUUCACUGAGUUGCCUUUGUAUGCUGGGAGGACCAAGCCGGAGGUUCCCACUAUGAGCCCGGAGUCUGUGCAGCCAGAUGACGCAUGAGGUAAGUCCUUAUGAGGUAGGACCUAUUAUUAACUCCAUUUUGCAACCAGGAUAACAGGCUCCAAGAGGUAAAGUGACUUGCUUAGAGCUCCAGAGUUAGCGAUAGGAGGACUGAAGCCCAGGAAUGAUGACUGCAGAGCUUCACCACUCUGGCGUUGCCUCCUGAGCCAAAAAAGGAGAGAAGUAACAGGAUUUAGCACCUGCCACACGCCAUACUGUUUUUAAAGACAGAAAUGGAGGUCAUCUGGUAGAAUCC